CGCUUUCACUCCUACGGGAGGCAGCAGUGGGGAAUAUUGCACAAUGGGCGCAAGCCUGAUGCAGCCAUGCCGCGUGUAUGAAGAAGGCCUUCGGGUUGUAAAGUACUUUCAGCAGUGAGGAAGGUGGAUGCGUUAAUAGCGUAUUCAUUUGACGUUUAGCUGCAGAAGAAGCACCGGCUAACUCCGUGCCAGCAGCCGCGGUAAUACGGAGGGUGCGAGCGUUAAUCGGAAUUACUGGGCGUAAAGCGCAUGCAGGUGGUUUGUUAAGUCAGAUGUGAAAGCCCGGGGCUCAACCUCGGAAUUGCAUUUGAAACUGGCAGACUAGAGUACUGUAGAGGGGGUAGAAUUUCAGGUGUAGCGGUGAAAAUGCGUAGAGAUCUGAAGGAAUACCGGUGGCGAAGGCGGCCCCCUGGACAGAUACUGACACUCAGAUGCGAAAGCGUGGGGAGCAAACAGGAUUAGAUACCCUGGUAG
rnacentral:rRNA from 1 species